UGCCCCCAUAGCUCAAUUGGAUAGAGCAUCUCCGUCCUAAGGAGAGGGUUCCCUGUUCGAUUCAGGGUGGGGGCGU
rnacentral:tRNA from 1 species